rnacentral:ribozyme from 1 species
GUAGGUUUCCUGUUUUGUUUUUUCUUUUUUCUUUCUUUCUCGUGUUGAUUAGUAAUCUGCGAACAUUUCGAACGCGAAUGAGGGAGAUGAGCGGCCGCUUUAGUUCCUACAGCAAAAA